rnacentral:rRNA from 1 species
UACGGAGGGAGCUAGCGUUGUUCGGAAUUACUGGGCGUAAAGCGCACGUAGGCGGCUUUGUAAGUUAGAGGUGAAAGCCCGGGGCUCAACUCCGGAACUGCCCUUAAGACUGCAUCGCUUGAAUCCAGGAGAGGUGAGUGGAAUUCCGAGUGUAGAGGUGAAAUUCGUAGAUAUUCGGAAGAACACCAGUGGCGAAGGCGGCUCACUGGACUGGUAUUGACGCUGAGGUGCGAAAGCGUGGGGAGCGAACAGG